CACAAAUAUAGUGCUAAUGGGAAGCACACACAAGCACACAUGCACCCGGCACCCCGGUCUACCUUCAUUUAUUUAUUUAUUAUUAAAUAAUACUAAUCAUGUUUUCUCCUUUCUCUCUGGAAAGUGUGGGAAGCCCGUGACCCUCCAGAUGUUGCACUCCAGCUGCCGUCAGCCCCAGCCAGCAUGGCUAAUGGCCAGGGUCCAAGGAGGAAGGGAGUUGUAGUUCAACAACAUCUGGUUCAUAGAAUCAUAGAAUCAUAGAAUCAUAGAAUCAUAGAAUCAUAGAAUCAUAGAGUUGGAAGAGACCACAAGGGCCAUCGAGUCCAACCCCCUGCCAAGCAGGAAACACCAUCAGAGCACUCCUGACAUAUGGUUGGCCACAGGUUCCCCAUCUCUGCUUUAAGUGCUUUAUCUUCCCAGUUCUUUGAUAUUCAUUGGUGGUUUCACUUCUUCCUAUUAUUGUUUCAUACAAG